rnacentral:misc_RNA from 1 species
UAUCAAUUCUCUCUCUCUCCCUUUCACGAUCCCAAGCUCUCCUGUCCUUAAUCCAUUCAAUUUGCCUAUUCCUGUCUUCAAUUCCUAGUUUGUGUGGACCUCUUUAGUGUCGACGCAUGGAAUGGGUGGGCUCAAAGUGUGAUUUCUCAUCUUCGUUUCCCUUUUCCUCGAUCGCGACCAUGCAUGCACUGAGAGGGGAGAAAACUAUCAGAUUUAGAAGCCCCCC